UACGGGGGGGGCAAGCGUUGUUCGGAAUUACUGGGCGUAAAGGGCUCGUAGGCGGCCAACUAAGUCGGACGUGAAAUCCCCAGGCUCAACCUGGGAACUGCGUCCGAUACUGGAUGGCUUGAAUCCGGGAGAGGGAUGCAGAAUUCCAGGUGUAGCGGUGAAAUGCGCAGAUAUCAGGAGGAACACCGGUGGCGAAGGCGGCAUCCUGGACCGGCAUUGACGCUGAGGCGCGAAAGCCAGGGAGGCAAACGGG
rnacentral:rRNA from 1 species